rnacentral:piRNA from 1 species
UAAAGCUCUUUGCAUUCCUAUGGACAG